rfam:Myotis lucifugus cont2.38733, whole genome shotgun sequence.
GGCGGUUCUCAGGUGAUGUCCCCUGGAAUAGGGCUCCCUCCUCUCUGGUUCCAGGUGUGUCACCCGUGAACUGCA